UACGUAGGUCCCGAGCGUUGUCCGGAUUUAUUGGGCGUAAAGCGAGCGCAGGUGGUUUAUUAAGUCUGGUGUAAAAGGCAGUGGCUCAACCAUUGUAUGCAUUGGAAACUGGUAGACUUGAGUGCAGGCGUGGAGAGUGGAAUUCCAUGUGUAGCGGUGAAAUGCGUAGAUAUAUGGAGGAACACCGGUGGCGAAAGCGGCUCUCUGGCCUGUAACUGACACUGAGGCUCGAAAGCGUGGGGAGCAAACAGG
rnacentral:rRNA from 1 species